GUAGGAACUGCUAGCAAGUCAUUCACCAGACAGAGACAGAAUCUAUGGCUCUACGGGGUGGGGGAGCAGCGGACAACGAGGUCGAAGAGAUGCAAGGUUGUAAAGAAGUGGGUGCUAUAGUUGUGAACAGGCAUCUUGACUAUGUUAAGGUGAAAAACUCCCUUCCCAGUCCAAUACGUGUGAAAGAAAAACAGAGCUAAGGUUGGUAAAGUACAUACUUUAUGCCAAUCUCUUAAUUCUUUUUUUUUUCUUCCUCAAAACAGGACUUU